UACGGGGGGGGCAAGCGUUGUUCGGAAUUACUGGGCGUAAAGGGCUCGUAGGUGGCCAACUAAGUCAGACGUGAAAUCCCCCGGCUUAACCGGGGAACUGCGUCUGAUACUGGAUGGCUUGAGUUCGGGAGAGGGAUGCGGAAUUCCAGGUGUAGCGGUGAAAUGCGUAGAUAUCAGGAGGAAUACCGAUGGCGAAGGCAGGUCUCUGGGCUGACACUGACGCUCAUGCACGAAAGCGUGGGGAGCGAACAGG
rnacentral:rRNA from 1 species